CAAAUCCUUACCUCAUUUCUUCUUUGUUAGCUAAUCUCUUUCUCCCUUUCUAUUAUAUCAUUACUCUUUUACUUACUACAAUCAAGACAACUAGUGUGAAAACCUUGAUUAAAGAGUUAAGUUGAAGGUGACUAUGAUUAAGAAGAUUGAAGCAUGGAUGUGGAUUGUGGUGGUGAUAUUUCAAAAGGAUUAGAAAAGUUUAAAUCCAGUUUUUCUUUGUUUUAGAACAAAGUAUUUCUAUGUUAAAUUCUAAAAUUAUGUAUAAAAGAUAUAAAGUUUGUCUUUUGGGAAUUUUAUGCAAGUUUUAUGAAAGUUUGAUUCUCGGAUAAUAUCUGGGUGUCACAUGUCGAACCGGUGAUAAUGUAGGUUCAGCAUUGGGAUUACAGGGUUCUGAACACGGUUCGAAUGAUCUAGCAUGUAUAGGAUGAGAAACUAAUGCAUUUCUCCUUGAAUAAACCUUUAGUGGACACGGAGAAGUCAGAUGUUUUUCCCUGUGUAUCACUUUUAGAGAAUCCUGUGGAAUAUCGUGAGGAGAAGACGAAGAAUGAUUUGAGGAAGAAUAGGGAGAAACAAUUCCCUAUUCAUUUCUUCUAUAUAAGAAUUUAGUCUCCCCCUUAGGAUAAGAAUCAUUGAAAUAGGAAUUCUCUUUCACAAAACUUACAUGAACUGAGAGAAAAAACCGUUUAGAUGGAGAAUGAAAACACUUAUAACUCUUUUGAGUGGAGGAGUAUCCAACAAAGAUGUGGGCUCUAGGAUCCAAUUUCUCUCUAUUAGGUGAGUGAUUAUGAACAAAACUCACACAACUGAAUACUUUAGGACAAAGACCAUUAGAAAGCAUGAAAUCUGGAAAAGCUUUAGAAAGUAGCUGAAUUGGGCUGUUUGAAUCAAGACUUCUAGAGGACAUCCUAUUGAUGAGAUAGGUUGUUGUCAAGGCUGCUUCUCCUCAAUAAUGUUUAGGAACAUUAUUGUGAAAUAGCAAAGCCCUUGUAACAGCAAAUAAAUGCACAUUUUUUCUCUCAACUACCCCAUUUUGUUGAGAGGUAUAGACACAAGAAUACUCAUGGAUUAUACCCUUUUGAUGGAAAAAAUUAGACAGGGUUUGGUUGAAUUUUUUUUUGGCAUUAUAUGUUCUGACCCUUUUAAUUUCAACCCCAAAUUGGGUCUUAAUCAUGAAAAAAUUGGAAAAGAUGGUACACACUUAUGAUUUAGCCUUUAAAAGAUAAAGUCAAACCAUAUGUGUGCAAUCAUCCAUGAACAAAACAAACCAUCGGCCCCGUAUAGAUCAAGAAUUGGGGAUGAACCCCAUAUGUCACUGUGAAUUAGAUCAAAAGGGAGAGAACUUCUCUUAUUAAUGAGAGGGAAAUGAAGCCUUUAUAUGCUUAGCAAGCUAACAUACAUCACAUUGGAAGUCUCUAGCAUCUAAUCUCUUGAACAAAGAGGGAAACAUGAACUAAAGGACUCUAAAAGAGGGGUGUCCUAGCCAAAAAUGAUGAAGCCAAAUUAAGUCUUUAUUAGGUUUAACAAAAAGUCAUACAUGGAAAAACUUUCCUCUUUUAAGUUGUCCACUAGGGUUUUCAAGAUGAUAGAGACCAUUCUCUACCCUAGCACGCCCAAUCAUCUUUCUCGAGUCAUUUUCUUGAAAUUCACAAAAGGAAUGAUUGAAGAUAACACGUCAAUUAGCAUCACGGGUUAGUUUUUGAAUGGAAACUAAAUUAGUGAACAACUUAGUAACAUGCAGGACAUCCCUUAAGAUUAGAUGGUGAUUAAUGAGUAUAUCCCCUUGUCUAGCCACUAUUGUCAAUGAUCUAUCGGCCAAUAAUAUUUUCCUUGUACUAGGGAAGGGUUUGUAGGAUAAAAAUUUGGUAGAAGAAGGUGUCAUAUGGUCUGUAGCCCCAGAAUCAAGGAUCCAAGUAUUUCUUAGGGAUAAGUCUGAAGCAUGAAAGUUAAAAAAAGUGGAAGUCAUACCUGUGAAGGCUAGGUUAGAAGUACUUGCCCCUAGCACCUCAACAGACUUCUCAAUUUUUCUAUUUCUUCUCAAUUAAGCUCCUUUGAAUUAGACUAAUCUGGACCCUUAUCCUCCUCACUCUGUUGGCCACAUAGGCUUUACCUUUGGAUUGUCCUCUUUUAGCUGGCUUGUCAUGAAGCUUCCAGUAUUUGUCCACCGUGUGUCUAGAUUUCUUGCAGUAGGUGCACCACAAAUUAUCAUUGGUUGUGGUUCUUACUAAGUCCAAAGUCUUCCUUUCUUAUCUUGCCAUUCUCUCCUUACCGAGUCCUUUCAAAGUUAGCAGGGAUGAGCUCUCCAUAGGGCUUGCCUCCUACUCCUCUUCUGCCCACACUAUUGAGAUUGCUUCAUUUAACGAAUGCAACUCAGACUUGCCAAGGAUUUGGACCCUAACAACAUCAUAUUCUACAUUGAGUCCUGUAAGAAAAUCGUAGGUUCUCUCAUUUUCAACAAAUUUCUUUUGGAAAACAGCAUCCUUAUUGCACUUCAUUUGAAUACACUGAUAGUGAUCCAAUUCUUGCCACAAGGUUUGCAAAAGAUUUGCACACUUGGUUAUAGACCGAGUCCCUUGUUUAGUGGCUGCUACCUUGGUCCUAAUUUCAUAGAUUUGAGCAGCAUCAUUUACCUUAGAAUAUGUGAUCUUCACAGCUUCCCAGAUCUCUUUAGUUGUGGAAAGAAACAUCAUAAUGUCACUGAUCUCUGGAAUCAUUGAGUUCCAGAGCUAGGACAUCACAAGAGUCUUCCUCAUCCCAAGAGGCAUAUGUAGGAUCACUUUCCUGUGGCCCUAUUCCAAGCAAGUGACUUAACUUCCCCUUACCUUUCAGAAAUAUCUCUGGAAUCAUUGAGUUCCAGAGCUAGGACAUCACAAGAGUCUUCCUCAUCCCAAGAGGCAUAUGUAGGAUCACUUUCCUGUGGCCCUAUUCCAAGCAAGUGACUUAACUUCCCCUUACCUUUCAGAAAUGUCUUAAUUAGCUGAGACUACUUAAGGUAGUUCUUCCCAUUCAAUCGGUAUGCCGCUUGGACAUUUUGUAACUCACCAUUGGAAAUCACCCCACCACUGGAAUUACCUGUGACAAGAGCUUCAUUGGUGCUACCGAAUUCUAUGGUUUCGAACAAAUCUCAAGUUUUAUGAAAGAAGAUUGGAUCAAAGAAGGUUUUUGGCCACAAACACUCGAGAAUAGAACCUAGGGCUCUGAUACCAUAUCAAAAGAGACGAAAAACAAUCCAAUCUAAUUCAUUCUAAGGCUCAAAUAAUAUAUACAUGCUUAUCAUUAGAAUAGGAAAUUUCCUAAGCCUAAUUAGGAAUAUUCCUAAUUAGAUAGUUUCCUAAAUUAGCUUAGGAAAUCUAUACAGAAAAAGAAAGACUUUACAACUGUAAAUUACAAUCAAAUCAAUAGAAGACAAUCAAAUCAAUCAGCGCCAAUUAGCACACACUCACAAUACAGACCAGAUUAGGAAAGAACCAUAUUAGGAAAGCAAGGAUCUACUCGUUUUCUAACAAGACCUUUGAAAUCCACCUUCCGCAGUAAAUCCAUCAGAACUGCACUAUGUUUUCCUUAUUCUUUUGUAAAUUUUGUUCCAGCAAGAAAAUGGUGUGGAUCCUUUGAACUGCUCUCUGCUCUCCACUAUCCAAUGUAAUGCGAAAUUUUAUGCUGGUGGCGACCAAGUAACUGUCUAAAUUAUGCUCAUUAAAUGAGCUCUUUAUCCAAACAAUUUAACUACUUAUUACCAAAUAAGCUCUUAUAGUGUAUAAACUUUAUAGAUUAAAAGCUCCUAUGAUUGAAGCUAAACCAAACAGGCUCUAAAUUUUUGGAUCCUAAAGUGCACGUGACUUGCACACUGCAUGCACAUCAUGUGAGUUGAACUAUUCAUCUUCAUCCUCAUCCAUAGAAAUUAGAUGUAGUCUAUCCUUGUCUUCAAGCUCAAUAGAAGAGACCAACAGCCUGUACACAAAGUGGGUGAUAUGCUACAUGAUAUGUAUUACUUGAACAUUGGAUGCAAGCUCCAUAAGACACACUGCAGAUGCUACAUAAAACCUUCUAGUGGUCCUUAUGGAUUCCACUCAACACGUCAAUUGGCUCUAUUCUUUUGACAUCAAAUAAGCAUGUCUCUAGUAUCAAGCAAGAUGAGAUCAAACCCAAUAAGUUACAGGCUUCAUAGUGCCUCUUAUAACAGCAAAAAGGCAAGAGGGUGGGGGUUUGCUUUUAGUUCUAGGCAUUUUGAAAAUCAAGCACUUUGGUUCAAUUCAUUUAUUUCUAAAAUCCUAAGUUUACGCACACCUAGUAAUUAUAAGACUGGAAACAUCUUAAUCGAAGAGGUUACUGAAGAAUUGAGUGUUCAAAAAGGAUGUGAGGGCAUCUUUCAGUCCAAUUAAGAAGGAUUUUGAGUGUUGGAGAUGAGGUGCACCAUUAAGGGAGGGCCAGCUUGAAUUGGGUAACAAGCUUAAUAGGUGAUAUUAUUCAUUUAUGAUUAGAGUUAUUCAUCACCAAUUAACUGUUUAUCCCCAGUGCAAAAUAAUGUUCCCUACUACAACAUUGUGAACUAUUUCUUGCUAUUGAAUUUUUCGAUCCAAAAGUACAAAUGGCUUGCAUGUUACAUGCAGAUCAUAUGCAUACUGCAUCUUGAAGUGCGAACACAUAAAAGGAUCAGAUGACAAUUCACAGAAAGUCUGACAUUUUUAAUAGCUGAGAAGUACAAGGCUUAGCAAUGAGGGAAAUUUUCUUGGUAGUAUGAUUGGUAAUGUAGUAAUCCAAGUACAAUGUACAGGAGAUGCACAAUAAUAAGCUAGCAUAACCCUAGAAACUUUUUAAUGUAAGAGGUUACUAGGGAAGAAAGUCAAAGUCUAUAUUCACUUCAAAAAAACUUCUAGACUCUUCUUGACUUAAUACUGAUGAGCAAAGCUGAAAUGAAAACAGACAAUCAAGAAGCUAAUAGCAAAGAAGUUCACUAUUCACCUUCUGAAUAUCUAUUGCUUGAGGUAGGUUUACCUUCAGAAAAUGACAAAAAAGGUUGUACUAUGUCCUCACAAAAGCUUUGGACAAUAAACCACUGAAUGUUUUCCCUGUCUCCAAGUGGAAGUGCUCUAGAUAAGGGUUGUCCUAAAAGGCAUGCCUAGAGAGAACAAACACAUUCAUUCAAGAGGUUACACUGAGUGGUGAUGCUAUAUCGAAUAAGACAUCUAAUGGGGCAAGCAAUUCAGAAGUAAAUGCACAGAGACAAUUGAGGAUAAAGGCUACUCUUGGAACUGUUGUUGAGGAAAAGGCUUCCAAGCAUAAGUCAGGGCUAGAGUGACUCAACAACAAAUCCAUUGAAAGAAAAUUAGGCCAGAAGGUACAUCGAAGAGAAGGAGACAAAACUUCUUGAGACAAAGAAGAUGAUUAGAAGCAUGGGAGGGGAAAAGCUACUUUAAAGAAGAUUGUGACAAAGUUCUCCACUGUUGAUAGUGAGAUCCUUCGCCAAAGCCUUUUGAAAAAUUAAUUAAAGAUGAAAGCCACUUAAAGGAAACAACCCCAAGCCGAGUUCCAGGAGAAAACACAAACCAAGGUGAGAGAAAACAUUUGAUACCAUAGGGUAUGGAGAUAAUUUGGUUGGUUCAAAGGUUAAGGUUUGGUGGCCAAAAAAUGUGUAAAAAAUAUGUAGUUAUUCACUUUUGAAUAUUCCAUUUGAGUGUAUAGUUUGUUAUAAUUUUAUUUAUAGGGUAUUUCUUUUCCUUGUUUGGUAGUUUCUAAGUCAUAACUGACUCGUAUGAAACAGUUACAUUUGUACCAUAUAUAUUGCUCUAUGAAUUUCGAAUGAAAGGAAGUUGAUUUUCUAUCAAAUUCUACAUGGUAUCAGAGUAGUCCUAAUACUGAUAUGUUCAUUCCAAAUCUGCAUCUGAUAAUUUCGGUUUGUUCUUCUCAAUUAUGUACCCGAUUCCAUUUCUAUUCCACUGAGCAUUUGGAUUCUGUUUCUCUUUUGUUUUUUCAUUUACAAUGGCUUUUACUGUUGAAGUUUCUUCUUCCUCUCAAAUUCCCUCAAUUCUGACCCCAACAGAAGGAUCUGAUUCCUCUGCUCUUCUUAUUACCGAACAUAAACUGUGUAACAUCCCGCAUCGAGUGAUAGAAAGAAUUGGAACAACUUUCUUUGAUGGGCCCACACGAACUUCUCAGGGGUCACCCAUCCUUGAGCUUCCCUAGCUCAAGCACGUUUAACCCGGGAGUUCUUUGCCUACAUUCAAACCAAAAGUGGUCUCAUUCAGUUAUGAUGUUCAUUUGUGGCUGAGGAAAGGAUGAUUAUCUUAUUGGUGUUGCCCCUAAACCGAAGACCGAUGAUCCAAUGUACAAGGUGUGGAAGACAGAGACCAAUAUGGUCAUGUCAUGGCUUAUCAACUUCAUGACGAAUGACGUCAAUGAAAACUUUAUUCUCUAUGAGACGACACAAGAAAUCUGGACAGCCUCCAAAGAGACAUACUUUGACACAGAAGAUGCAACAGAAACCUUCAAAAUUGAAGGAAUAUUCCAUGAUAUUUGUCAAGGGGAUCUCACCCUCACCCAAUAUUUUAGUCGACUGACAAGAUAUUGGCAACAACUUGAUAUGCAUGAGACAAUAGCAUGGGAAUGUCAAACUUAUGCUGGAAAAUACAAGAAGAUUGUUGAGAAGAAGUGAAUAAGUUUUUGCUGGGUCUCAACAAGAAUUUAGAUGAAGUCCAGGGGUGGAUUUUAGCCAUCAAACCUCUACCAAAUUUGCCUGAAGUUGCCUCAGAAGUGCGACAUGAAGAAAGUAGAAAGCCGUGUACAAGAAAUAGAGAUAGUUAGGUAGUUAAGUAGACUAUAGGGACAAUUUUUUCACUCAUUAUACAAUUAUUUAUUUUUUAAGUGGCAGUUUUUUAUGUGUAACUACUACCAUAUGAGCAGUUACCAUUUGUGUAUAAAUUUGUCCAAUCCAAAUAAUAAAAUGAGAAGUUUAAAAUCCAAACUUCUUCAAGAUGGACCUAAAACAAAAUCAAACCAACAAAAACCUCACAUGCUAGCAUAAUUCCUUUUAGAGACUACUCACCACUCUAGACAGUAUUAACUCAAAAUGCACCUAAAGGAUUGAAGUCAAGGGGUUGGAAAUACACUAAUCCAUGUCUUCUUCAGCUUCUCCUUGCCUUGUCUUUGAUAGUUUAAAGGCUGUCCU